GGAAUCUGUACUACAUCCUGUACAGUGCUACACCACGGGGCCGGAGAUCUGUCUGCUCGGGUUGGAUCCAAGCACACAAUUCAGUGUGCAGUCUCUCAGGAAGAGGGCUGUGAGAGUGGGCUAGGCGGAGGGUCAAGGCUCCAGCCAAGUGGACUGGGAUUCAGAACAGUCCAGAAGUGAAAAUUCCAAGAACAAAAUAGAGAGUGCUGCAUCCUGGAAAGCCCUAAGUGGGGGCAGAGACAGAUCUCUGGAAGCCCCGUAUGCCAGAGCUUAGGGCUUUCCAUGUAUUCCACACAACAAAAAGAACUGGACUCCGACUCACUCUUAGACAGAGAACAGGGACCUCAGAACAGGAGACCACUCCUUGGCCUUAUGGCAGAUGCAUGAAGGACAGCCAAGAACCUGACUCUGGAAAAGAGGCCACGCUCCUCAGACGUCCCAGUGGCUCAAGAUACGUGAGCAGAGAUGCCAGUGCCCCAGGGCAGUCUGCUAGCAAAAUGAAAGUCUGGUUUAAUUUCUUCUCACGAAUGAACAAACAACAAAAAUCCAACAUGAAGACAGUAAAUAGACAAAAUUAUAUCUUUGAAAAAUUAUUUAUCACAAGAGAUGGAGUAAAGUGUUAGAAACCGGCUCCAUGUUUCAAUAUCAUGAAAGAAAACCUGGUCUCUAAAAUAGACCCAAAGAAUCACAGAUGGAAACCGGAUGACGAUAAAAUCUGGGAUGCAGAGGGAACUGGAUAGAAUUUUAAAAGACAUAACAGAACCCAAGAUAAAAUGGUAAAAAAAUUUAAAUCCUCCUAAAUGACAGUGAUUAGCAAAAUUGAUCUAUCCAAAAAAAUCCAAUCUGCGAUAUAGAGGACAAACUUGGGGAAAUCUCGAAGAUUACAGAUAAGGGAAACAGGAGAUGAGAAUGAUGAGAGAGGAAGUGAUAACCAUGGAAACAGACUGAACAUCCAAUCACAGAAUAGUUGGUACCCAGAGCAAGAAGCUAAUCCUGAUCUAGUACCCAUGGGACCAUUCCAAUGUGCAGGACCCCUCUUACACAAGAAGGCUCCCUGCCCUGGCCCCCACACUUUAGAGAGCCCUGCUUUGGACCUCCGCUGGCCAUGUCCCUCGCCAUGAAGCAAAGAGUCCACAGGGCCUAGAGGAUAAGCCCUCCCUCGGCUUGUCCCACAUCCUGCACCCAGACUGUACUCUGAGUGAAUUAAAUCUUUGCCCAGACAGCCUGAGUGUGCCUCCCAAAUUUGAGCAAGCCCCUUCCAUGGACCCGUCCUCCCAAAGUUAGACCACUCCAAUAGUGUGUACAUCCCUAGGCUUGAGGGGUGGCCAAGAGGAGCUGUUUUCAGGGCUUAAAGCAGAGCUUACACAUGCACCUGGGACGUCUACCAUGUGCAUGCAGUGGCCCUAGCAGGUGGGUCGGAGCCAGGAAUGGGAAGAGAAAGGGCGGCAAUCGGAGGCUGGGGGCUCCAGGUCGGCUCCCCCUGAAAUACCGUAUUCUCAGCACUCAGAGGAGCUGAGGAUUUUAAUUUCAAAGCAGCCUUCCAGGUGCCUAUGAAGGUAUAUUCGUGCAGGUAGAAGGAGAGAACAAUUGCAUUUAUCAGCACGAUAGCAUGAUUUAUAACUUUUAAAUAUUUAAGCAGAUGGUAUGUGGUCCUGCCUUUGUGCUCUUACCCUGGCCCCGCAGUCGCGGGGGAGGGAGGCAGGGCUUGCCAGCUGAAUUGCUGUUCUAGAUGACCGGCUCCUUCAGGUCACCUAUAUUAAGAAAUGUAACUUUUUAGCACUGUCUGUACAGAGAGGAGCAGCAGCCAGCUGCUUUCAUGGAAAAGGGAGAAAAGCCUUUCUGUGGGGCACCUUGCUACCAUCAGAACCAGGAGCCUAAGCAUCAAAAGCCUACAGCUCUCUCUUUCUUGCCCCUCGGGGUUAAGCCUGUGAGGGCAGGAGGGCCCCAUAGCCAAAGAUGAUGCCAUGAAUUGCUGCCCGAGGUGGCAGCCAGAGCAGAGGCCUCUACCACCACUGCCACGCUCUGGACGUCACCUUCAGGGGAGUUGACCUGCUUCUGAUCUCUGCUGGUGAGACACAGUUGCUUAAUUUCUAAAUGUCAUGGUACCCAGCUAGUGGCAUUUUGCUUCUAGUUGCAAAGGCCUGCCAGAGGAAAGUCUGCCUCCUCAUCAUGCCUG
rnacentral:lncRNA from 1 species